GGGGGGGGCAAGCGUUGUUCGGAAUUACUGGGCGUAAAGGGCUCGUAGGUGGCCAACUAAGUCGGACGUGAAAUCCCUCGGCUUAACCGGGGAACUGCGUCCGAUACUGGAUGGCUUGAGUUUGGGAGAGGGAUGCGGAAUUCCAGGUGUAGCGGUGAAAUGCGUAGAUAUCUGGAGGAACACCGGUGGCGAAGGCGGCAUCCUGGACCAACACUGACGCUGAGGAGCGAAAGCCAGGGGAGCAAACGGGAUUAGAUACCCCGGUAGUCCUGGCCCUAAACGAUGAAUGCUUGGUGUGGCGGGUAUCGAUCCCUGCCGUGCCGAAGCUAACGCAUUAAGCAUUCCGCCUGGGGAGUACGGUCGCAAGGCUG
rnacentral:rRNA from 1 species